GCGUCCUUGGUGUAGCGAAAACACGCAUCUUGGAAUUACACUCUGGACAGCACUCAAACAAGAUGAGACCGGGGUUCAACUCCCCGAGGGCGCA